rnacentral:rRNA from 1 species
UCUGCAGAAUUCGCCUUAGAGUUUGAUCCUGGCUCAGGAUGAACGGUGGCGGUAUGCUUUACACAUGCAAGUCGUACGAGAGUUUUUAACUCAAGUGGCGGACGGGUGAGUAACACGUAAGAAUUUGCCUUUAGGAGGGGGAUAACAACUGGAAACGGUUGCUAAUACCCCAUAUGCUUUCGAGUAAAAUGGAUUUUCCGCCUAAAGAGAAGCUUGCGGCUGAUUAGCUUGUUGGUGAGGUAAUGGCUCACCAAGGCGACGAUCAGUAUCUGGUUUGAGAGGACGAUCAGACACACUGGAACUGAGACACGGUCCAGACUCCUACGGGAGGCAGCAGUGGGGAAUUUUCCGCAAUGGGCGAAAGCCUGACGGAGCAAUACCGCGUGAGGGAUGACGGCCUAUGGGUUGUAAACCUCUUUUUUCAGGGAGGAAUCAAUGACGUGUACCUGAAGAAUAAGCAUCGGCUAACUCCGUGCCAGCAGCCGCGGUAAGACGGAGGAUGCAAGUGUUAUCCGGAAUCACUGGGCGUAAAGCGUCUGUAGGUGGUCAAAUAAGUCAACUGUUAAAUCUUGAGGCUCAACCUCAAAAUCGCAGUCGAAACUAUUCGACUAGAGUGUAGUAGGGGUAAAGGGAAUUUCCAGUGGAGCGGUGAAAUGCGUAGAGAUUGGAAAGAACACCGAUGGCGAAGGCACUUUACUGGGCUAUUACUAACACUGAGAGACGAAAGCUAGGGUAGCAAAUGGGAUUAGAUACCCCAGUAGUCCUAGCCGUAAACAAUGGAUACUAGAUGUUGAACAGAUCGACCUGUGCAGUAUCAAAGCUAACGCGUUAAGUAUCCCGCCUGGGAAGUAUGCUCGCAAGAGUGAAACUCAAAUGAAUUGACGGGGAAGGGC